GACGAACGCUGGCGGCGUGCUUAACACAUGCAAGUCGAACGGAAAGGCCCUGCUUGCAGGGUACUCGAGUGGCGAACGGGUGAGUAACACGUGGGUGAUCUGCCCUGCACUUCGGGAUAAGCCUGGGAAACUGGGUCUAAUACCGGAUAGGAGCCAUUUUUAGUGUGAUGGUUGGAAAGUUUUUUCGGUGUAGGAUGAGCUCGCGGCCUAUCAGCUUGUUGGUGGGGUAAUGGCCUACCAAGGCGGCGACGGGUAGCCGGCCUGAGAGGGUGGACGGCCACAUUGGGACUGAGAUACGGCCCAGACUCCUACGGGAGGCAGCAGUGGGGAAUAUUGCACAAUGGGCGCAAGCCUGAUGCAGCGACGCCGCGUGGGGGAUGACGGCCUUCGGGUUGUAAACUCCUUUCGCUAGGGACGAAGCUUUUUGUGACGGUACCUAGAUAAGAAGCACUGGCUAACUACGUG
rnacentral:rRNA from 1 species